rnacentral:lncRNA from 1 species
AGAGAAGGCCAAUGUGGAAGUCUCUUAGGAUGCCACUUGACAAGUGGUCCCAAGGAAGAAAGGGAUGGUAGGUUAAAAUAGGAGUAAUUUUAUCAUAGCGCAUCCCCAUGAGGAUAUUAAGGGAUCCAAUGGCAUUAAGCUUAAUCCUAUCCUAUAUGGGUUUCUGUCAAGCUUAAUUUUAGUGCAAGUAUAAAACUUAGGUAUUAACUAGGCUUAUAUGCUAUAUUUUGCCUUCAAAAAGAGAUAAAUUAGGAUAUUAUGAAUGAUAUAGGUCUAAGAAAUAGUUGAAUUAGUCUGGAUUAGAUUCAAUAAACUAUGAUUGAGUGUAUAUUUUGACAUGAUCGGUUAUGAAUGGACACGACCAUACUUGAUUGGUCAAGAUUGGAUAUAUUAGGGGUUUAAAUUGGUUUGCAUUUGGAUAGGAUAGUGUUAGUUUGUUUUGGAUAGGAUUUAGGUUAGAUGAUCUAGGUUUAGGCUCGACAGACCAGGGUUCGGAUCAAA